rnacentral:rRNA from 1 species
UGGGGAAUUUUGCACAAUGGGGGAAACCCUGAUGCAGCGACGCCGCGUGAUUUAGAAGGCCUUCGGGUUGUAAAAAUCUUUUCUAUGGGAAGAAAAUGACAGUACCAUAGGAAUAAGGACCGGCUAAUUACGUGCCAGAAGCCGCGGUAAUACGUAAGGUCCGAGCGUUGUCCGGAAUCAUUGGGCGUAAAGGGUACGUAGGCGGGUAAGCAAGUUAGAAGUGAAAUCCUAUAGCUCAACUAUAGUAAGCUUUUAAAACUGCUGAUCUUGAGGUAUGGAAGGGAAAGUGGAAUUCCUAGUGUAGCGGUGAAAUGCGCAGAUAUUAGGAGGAUUACCGGUGGCGCAGGCGACUUUCUGGCCAUACCCUGACGCUGAGGUACGAAAGCGUGGGUAGCAAACAGG